rnacentral:piRNA from 1 species
UGGGAGAGUUGAGGCCUGUUCUUGCAAU